CUACACCUAUAGAUGGCGUUAUAUGGUGGGAUUUGUCUGCGAUAUCAACUCGGUGGAGGCUGAUGUUAAAUAAAGCUAUUUCACACACGUUAUGUGGUGACCAAGACCAACACGGUCUAAAAAAAUAUCAUGCCUAAAAAAGAGGUUCAAUAUAAACAAUGUCGUGAAGAAGAUGACCCAAUUUCACAGAAUAUUACAAAGCAAGAAAAUACAGCUACUAUAAACCACAAUUACAUAACUAUUAAAGGUGAUGUUGAACACUGUCAAUUCGGUGAACAAAGUUGUAUAACUAGACAAUCUUAUGAACAAAAUAACAGUAAUAGCGUGUGCAAAAGGGAGCUCAAAUCUGUAAAACAACAUUUGCGCAGAGUAGAAAAUAGAGUACGUGAAUUAGAGAUCAGAGAUUCAAAUAACCAAGUAAAACUAGAGAUUCGAGACCAAACCAUACGUUCAUUGGAGGAGAAACUUCGCAUAUUGGAGAUAGACGCGAAAAGGGAAAAUCGGUCAUUAAGAAGCACAUUAGUUCAAAAGGAUGAUGAAAUAAAUUCGCUGAAAAAUGAAUUUGCGCAAUCUUUGCCAAAAAUUGAGAUUGCAGAGGGUGAAAUUGAUAAAUUUUUAUCAAUCAAAGCAUGUCAUUUCACAACUGGAUUUUCGCAGACCAUGAAGGUGAAACCUCUCGAUACAGUUAAAGACGUUGAGAAACAGAUUAAUGAAAUGAUGGACAGAAAAGAUGUUUUCGUAACUAGCAUUUGUAGACGCGAAAACAACAAAAGCUCCUACCUAUGGUGGUGUUUUAAAGACAAAUUCGAUAAAACAUUGAAGGAAUAUGGUGUGAAGGAGGGGGAUUCUUUCGCUUAUUCUUACACAUAGAUGUACACGUAUUUCCUCGCAAAUUGUAUACUGGUGCAUCUCCGAAAUUUUCAAAUUUUUCAUUAAGAUUACAUAAGUUAAAAAAUUAGUUUAUUCCGCUUCCAAUAUAUUUUAAGAUAAUAAAAAUCCGUAAUAAUUGAAUAUGGUACAGCUUACCUUUGUAGGAAUUUGAAUAAUAUUCAGUUUUGAUUAAAUUGAAAGUUAGUGUCCGAA